rnacentral:rRNA from 1 species
AAGUAGGUAGCUUAACCUUCGGGAGGGCGCUUACCACGUUGUGAUUCAUGACUGGGGUGAAGUCGUAACAAGGUAACCGUAGGGGAACCUGCGGUUGGAUCACCUCCUUACCUUAAAGAA